GGUGUGGUGGCUUAUUGGUAAAGUUUCGGCCUCGGAAGCGGAGGUUCGCAGUUUCGAAUCUCUAUUCCG